GCCGCCGUAGCUCAGUGGUAGAGCGCAUCCUUGGUAAGGCUGAGGUCGGGAGUUCGAUCCUCCCCGGCGGCACCA
rnacentral:tRNA from 1 species